GAACGGAGAGAUUCAUCGUCAUUCCGCGGCGCGUCGUGCGUCGUUUCGAUACUGUCCCUCUCGGGGGGCGGUACGCGCGACGUCGACGGCGUCCGUGGACGGCGUGCACUUCUCUCUUAGUAAGACAUCGCGACCCGUUCGAUGUACGUCUACGCCCCGUGCGGGAGCCCGGCGGCACUCGUUGCCGUCGGACCGCACGGCGGCCGGCCUACUGUCGGACGGUAUAAAGAUUUGAAUCGCGCACGCGCUUCGGCGCGUCCGGCACGACGCAAUAUGUUGCCGUACUACGGUCCUGCCUCGCGGCGGUUCGCGGUACGGUGGCGUAUGUUGUCGCAGCCGUUAGUCUCGGACUGUGCGCGUCUCGGUCUGCGAUGAUUCAGUUUCGGGCACUCGCAGGACCCGUCUUGAAACACGGACCAAGGAGUCUAGCAUGUGUGCGAGUCAUUAAGAUUUGAAAACUGAAAGGCGUAACGAAAGUGAAGGUGUGUGCUCGUCACGCGCUCAGGGAGGAUGGGGUACGAUCUCGGUCGCGCUCUCGCACUCC
rnacentral:rRNA from 1 species